rnacentral:rRNA from 1 species
GAUGAACGCUAGCUGCAGGCCUAACACAUGCAAGUCGAGCGACCGGCGCACGGGUGAGUUAUACGUAUCCAACCUGCCCUUUACUCGGGGAUAGCCUUUCGAAAGAUAGAUUAAUACCCGAUGUAAAGGAUGGGGAUGCGUUCCAUUAGGUUGUUGGUGAGGGAACAGCUCACGAAGCCUUCGAUGGUUAGGGGUUCGGAGAGGAAGGUCCCCGACAUUGGAACUGAGGCACGGUCCAGACUAGUAGGGGAGGCAGGGGUGAGGAAUAUUGGGCAAUGAGCGUUAGCCUGACCCAGCCGAGUAGCUUGAGAGAUGAAGGGGUAUGGGUCGUAUACUUCUUUUAAAUAAGAAUCGGUAUUAAAAGAAUAAGGAUCGGCUAACUCCGUGUCAGCAGCCGCGGUAAUAC